UUCGCACUCAGCCCACUCGCACCCGGGUGAAUAAACAGCCUUUGUUGCUCACACUUAGCCUGUUCAAGUUGUCUCUUCAAUUAGAUGCUCGCAUAACAUUUGGUGCCGAAAGCCCGGGAUAGGGGAACUCCUCCGGCAGACCUCUCCUCUAUCCUCCCGGUACCCACGUUCUCCCAUGCAAGAGACUUCCCUCGCCCUCAGGACCUCAGACCAGCUCCGCGAGCACUCCGGCCUCUGUCUAUGGAUAUGCAUAAAAAGACAGGAAUGUAAGGUCCUCUGAGCAGGCGGCGCCAUGGUCAAGCCAUCGUGACCCCUGUGACUCACACGUACACAUCCAGAAGGUCUCCUGGAGCCAGAAAGUCUGGGACGACAGGAAAACCACAAAAGAAGAAAAACGGCUAGUUCCUGUCUUAGCUGAUCAGCCAACCUUGUGACAUUCUAUCAUUGUAACAGGCUGUACCCUAACUGAUCAAUCAACCUCAUGACACUGUGCUCUGUAACCUUAUGAUAAUGUACCUUAUGACAUUCUUCCCCUGCCCUCAAUAAACAGCUCCGAACUAUAACUUUCCACUGCUUACCCCUAAAGUAUAAAACUAGCUCCAACCCCACCACUUCCUUUUCGGACUCAGCCCACCCGCACCCAGUGAAUAAACAACCUUGUUGCUCACACUUAGCCUGUUCAGGGUGUCUCUUCAAUUAGACGCACACAUAACA
rnacentral:lncRNA from 1 species